AUGAAAGCUGUUUGCAGACAACAGCAGGAUGUAUCCAGACUGUCAGGGAUUGAAGAGCCGCUGAGGUCUAGUCACGUGAGCAUUGCUGAGCACCGUGGAAAAACCACCGCCCAUGGGCCCGCGCCUCACAGGUGCAGGGAGUCCUCACUGGACCAUCUGAAUGUGCUGGGAGGCAGGUGGAAGAGACCAUCAGCCACCAUCCCCGGGCCAUCCACGCCACAGGUGAGUCAGCUGAGGCCACACAGGACAAUGACUUGCUCAAGGGUUACUCAGCUGAUUGGGGCUUUCUCCUCUGCCUCAGUUUCACCCCAGAAAAGGUGCUGAUCACAGGCUAAGUCAUGAUAUCCCCAAAUUCACAUGUUGAUGUUCUAACCUCCAAUAACUCAGAAUGUGAUGAAAUAAGGAAAUAAAAAAUUUCAAAUAAGGAAAUACAGUGGUUGAAGACUCAGUUAGUUAAGGCAAGGUCAUAGUGAAGUCAGGUGGGCCCCUAAUCCAAUGUGACAGGUGUCCUUGUAAAGUGGGGACAUUGGACACACCAGGGAGGCAAGAGGCCAUGCACAUCUGCUGUUUAAGCUGCUCCGUCUGUGUGGCAUUGUUGUGGCAGCCCCAGCAAGCAAAUCCAGUGCCCAAACCUGGGGGACUGCUCCCGCCCCUGGACUCUGCCCUCUUGAGCCUCCCACUAUGACCCCUAGCUUUUGUCUCCUUACUUGGCCCUCUGGCUGAACAACUCCUCUUUCUCUUCCCGCUGCUUCCAAACCUCGUAUUGUGCUCUGUGUUCCAAAAUGACCCAGCCCGCAUCACUUCCCAAACAAAUCUAUUUUUUCAGAAAGUUGAAUUCUAGCAGAAGGCAGCAGGAAAGCAGCCUGAUCAAGCUGAUUCACACUAAGGGUGAGUGACUAACACAUGGGUAGUGUGAUUCCAGGGAAUGGCCUCACUUAGCUCUUCCAGGACACUUACAUGUUCAAAGAGGAGUUUGUUAAUUCCUAAAGAGGCCCUUUUGCCAAUGGAGAUUAUUUUAUAAUGUGAAUGUUUGUCCCCAUUACAAGUGACUCAGUUAACAAGUUAGCAUGUUUUCUUUUUGUGUCUGUGCUGCUGACUCAGGGGCCUAGGACUGGCUCUGGCUUCUUACAGGCAGGUGUCCUCUUUGGAGGCCACCCCUAGCAUCCCCACUGACAGUGGAAGCCUGAGCCCUCUUUCCCACUUUCCUCCUCAGUAGGAAGGACCAAGACCACAGCCCUGCCCAGUGCUCCCUGCCUCUUGUCCCCACGCCCCCGUGGCUCCACUCUGGUUUUGUAAGAGUGGGCUUACUCGUUCGCUGUGAUAGGGCUGCUUUUAGCCUCCCUGACCAGACAGGUUGCCCCUGGGGCUGAAUGUGUAGCCUCCUGCGAGUGGGGCUGUGUGGAAGUGGUGAUGCCCAGGAAGUGUGGCACGGGGCACUGCACGUCUGACUUUAAUAAGCUAUGGCCUUCAGCUGUGGAAGCCUGGUGGUGUGGGGAACUGAGGAGUUCUGGGAGGAGGUUGGGGGCAAGGGGCUGCCUUCCAGGCAGGGUGCAGGAGCCUUGGAGAAGGUGCUAGAAGCUGGAGUUCCUGUGCCAAGGCCUGGGAAGGCAGGCAGAGUCCUGGCUGGUGGAGUCAUGGAUAGGGGCUGGGGUGGGUGUGGGGCUGGAUGGUUUGUCCUGCUCCCAUGCCAGCCUCCCUCUGGGUUGGUGGGCCCCUCCUGAAGUCUUGGUGUACCUGGACCUGGGUUAAGCCACACUGCAGGGAGGUACAUGUGUACAAAGUGAUCUUUCUUCCAGAAGAACACAGUCUACGAAGGCAUUUCUGCAAACUUGUGAGAUGCCUGUGCACACCUUGUGGUGGUCCUGAACUGAUGGCUGAGGUGUGCUGUAGAAAUUAGAGGAGAGAGGAAGAAGUUCAUUGCUGGUUGAGCAGUUCAGGG
ensembl:lncRNA